GAUCGUGGCAACAUGGGCGGUUCGUUAUCGACGAUGUCGCGAGAAGUCCCUGAACCUUAUCAUUUAGAGGAAGGAGAAGUUGUAACAAGAUUUCUAUAGGUGAACCUACAAAGGAUCAUUGUCGAU
rnacentral:rRNA from 1 species